AACCAAAUUCCCCAAAACCUAAUAAUAUAUCAAUCUCGUUCCCUUCCCAGCCGCCCCCUCCUUCCUCCCUUUUCCCAUUUUCCAUUUCCCAUUUCCUUCUUCAACAAUGGAAUCACUGGCUAGAUAGACCGACUCCUUCUCACUUUCCAGACAUUGAGUGAAACCUUGAAGAUUAUAAUGUAAUGUUGGGAGGCGCCACUGUUAGCCGAAAAGACACUACAAAAUAUGAGCUAAAAAUCCUUUAAAAAGUUUUUAAAAAAGUAUACAGGGUGCAUUUUUAUCUAUUGAUUGCACAAGAUCAUCUGGUGGCAAAAUCUUCAAUCCCUUCAAUCCCUAGAUCAAAUACUUAGAACUUAGUUUUGUUUUGAUGUGGAACCCUUCAGAAUUUUACAGAUUAUAGUUAAAUAGACGACUCUACUUUAGAUAGACAAUUGUCUAUUUUAGAAUUAAUUUUUGUAACUAUUUAGAUGUCAAUUUGUAUAAUAAAGUGAAAUUCAAAAUUUA